rnacentral:rRNA from 1 species
UGGCGGCAGCUUACCAUGCAAGUCGAACGGUAGCAGGAGAAAGCUUGCUUUCUUGCUGACGAGUGGCGGACGGGUGAGUAAUGCUUGGGAAUCUGGCUUAUGGAGGGGGAUAACUACUGGAAACGGUAGCUAAUACCGCGUAACAUCUUCGGAUUAAAGGGUGGGAUCUUCGGACCACUUGCCAUAAGAUGAGCCCAAGUGGGAUUAGGUAGUUGGUGGGGUAAAGGCCUACCAAGCCGACGAUCUCUAGCUGGUCUGAGAGGAUGGCCAGCCACACUGGAACUGAGACACGGUCCAGACUCCUACGGGAGGCAGCAGUGGGGAAUAUUGCACAAUGGGGGGAACCCUGAUGCAGCCAUGCCGCGCGAAUGAAGAAGGCCUUCGGGUUGUAAAGUUCUUUCGGUGAUGAGGAAGGCAGAUAAGUUAAUAGCUUGUUUGAUUGACGUUAGUCACAGAAGAAGCACCGGCUAACUCCGUGCCAGCAGCCGCGGUGAU